UCAGGACGAACGCUGGCGGCAUGCCUAACACAUGCAAGUCGAACGAGAAAGUUCCUUCGGGAGCAAUUAAAGUGGCGCACGGGUGAGUAACGCGUAGACAAUCUGCCCUUCAGUCUGGGACAACUUUUCGAAAGGAGAGCUAAUACCGGAUAACAAUGCAUGACACAAGUUGUAUAUUUGAAAGCUUUAUGUGCUGAGGGAGGGGUCUGCGUCCCAUUAGCUAGUUGGUAGGGUAAAGGCUUACCAAGGCAACGAUGGGUAGCGGGUUUGAGAGGACGAUCCGCCACACUGGAACUGAGACACGGUCCAGACUCCUACGGGAGGCAGCAGUGGGGAAUAUUGCACAAUGGAGGAAACUCUGAUGCAGCAAUGUCGCGUGAGUGAAGAAGGCCCUUGGGUCGUAAAGCUCUUUUAUGGGGGAAGAUGAUGACGGUACCCCAAGAAUAAGCACCGGCUAACUAUGUGCCAGCAGCCGCGGUAAUACAUAGGGUGCGAGCGUUGUUCGGAAUUACUGGGCGUAAAGGGCGCGCAGGCGGAAUAGUAAGUCGGAGGUGAAAGCCCGGGGCUCAACCCCGGAGGGUCUUUCGAAACUACUAAUCUAGAGAGGGUCAGGGGCCGGCAGAAUUCCUGGUGUAGAGGUGAAAUUCGUAGAUAUCAGGAGGAAUACCGGUGGCGAAGGCGGCCGGCUGGGGCCACUCUGACGCUGAGGCGCGAAAGCGUGGGGAGCAAACAGGAUUAGAUACCCUGGUAGUCCACGCCGUAAACGAUGAGCACUGGACGUCCGGAGGGUUCGACCCUUCUGGGUGUCUCAGCUAACGCAUUAAGUGCUCCGCCUGGGGAGUACGGUCGCAAGACUAAAAC
rnacentral:rRNA from 1 species